rnacentral:rRNA from 1 species
CACACCCUCCGCCACAUAUCACACAGAAAGUGUAGACGGGGUUACCCAAAGUGUUCUUAUAGAACGGUGGUAGGUGAGUAAUGUUCCCUACUAGAAAGGAGAGGGCAAGGCUGGGGCCAGCCGCCGCGGUAAAACCAGCUCUUCAAGUGGUCGGAAUAAUUAUUGGGCUUAAAGUGUCCGUAGCCGGUUUAGUAAGUUCCUGGUAAAAUCGAGUAGCUUAACUAUUCGUAUGCUAGGAAUACUGCUAAUACUAGAGGGGGGGAGAGGUCUGAGGUACUACUGGGGUAGGGGUGAAAUCUUAUAAUCCUAGUAGGACCACCAGUGGCGAAGGCGUCAGACUGGAACGCGCCUGACGGUGAGGGACGAAAGCCAGGGGAGCGAACCGGAUUAGAUACCCGGGUAGUCCUGGCCGUAAACGAUGCAUACUAGGUGAUGGCACGGCUAUGAGCCGUGUCAGUGCCGUAGGGAAACCGUUAAGUGUGCCGCCUGGAAAGUACGGUCGCAAGGUUAAAACUUAAAGGAAUUGGGGGGGGAAAGGGCAAAUUCCCGGCCCUUAAAUUCAAUUCGCCCUAUAGUGAGUCGUAUUACAAUUCACUGGCCGUCGUUUUUAACAA